UUUCAGUGAGUGAAAAGGAAGAAGGAUUUCUUGUAUUGGGAUGAUAACAAGGAAAGGUAUUUUGAUCUCCCUAAGGAAGAGUCUACGGUCCUUCUAGAAUAGUUCAAGAAAAGGCAUCCUGCUUCUUUCCAAGCUGGUUCCUUGGUAUUCCUGAGGCCCACUGACGUGUCCUACCUUUCAAAUCGAAUGGUGGUGGCCUUUCCCCUAAUUCAGAUCCUGUUAAUUCCGGAUUUGGAAAAAUAGACCUGGCAAGGAGGCGGGCACUCACCACUUCAUUAUCUUUGAAGAAAGAGAGAGAGAGAGCACACAGAGGCAAAGGGAGAGGGAGA